ensembl:lncRNA
GGACAGGUGAGUAGCCUCGUUGUUUUAUUAAUACGAGGUCUGCUGGCUUUAAUGGGGGACCAGGAGGGGCGGACUCCUCAUCACAAUCUGUCUGUGAUGGGCUUUUCCAACACAAUGGCACAUAAGAGAGUUUUGUGAGGAUGUUACUCUCGAAGAAGACUUUUCUCAAGAAAUAAAUCAUGUAUCUCCAGUGAAGUGACAAUAUGCAGGUUAUUCUGGCUAUACUUGUGGAUUCAGCAGUAUCCCAUUUAUUGAUAUGAAUAUUUACAUCCAUGCCAGUAGCGCUGCGGUUGUUCGUAGUAUUUGCAGUGAAUAGCUUGGCUGGGAUGCUGAGGACAUCACCUACUGUUUUUAAAGCUCAGCAUUCUCAAAGCUAUUUUAAAAACCCCUUCAUCACCACCACUUUGGACCAAUGUUAAAAGCAAUUCAGUAGAGACAUUCUCCUUUCAUAACCCCCAAUUAAUUAUUGUGCUGACCUAGAGGCAAUUCUGAAAGGAGGUGUACAACAUUAGCCCUUUUAAAAAUCUUACAUAGGCCAGGAGUGGUGGCUCACACCUGUAAUCCCAGCACUUUGGGAGGCCUAGGGCGGUGGAUCACGAGGUCAGGAGAUCGAGACCAUCCUGGCUAACACAGCGGAACCCUGUCUCUACUUUAAAAAAAAAAUUAGCUGGAUAUGUUGGCAGGCACCUGUAGUCCCAGCUACUCAAGAGGCUGAGGCAGGAGAAUGGUGUGAACCCGGGAGGCGGAGCUGGCAGUGAGCCGAGAUCGCGCCACUGCACUCCAGCCUGAGCGACAGAGCGAGACUCUGUCUCAGGAAAAAAAAAAAAAAAAAAUUGUAGUUCCCUUUCAUCAGAAAAUUUUGAAAAAUUACAGUUGACCUUCUUUCAGUUGAAUCUAUGGAUAUAGUUCCUUUAGUUUGUAAGAAAAUGCUUUUGCUACCCACAGAAAGGUAAAAAUACUCAGUUUUAGCCCUAUUCUAGGGAUGAGGCUUAGAAGUGCGAUGGCACACCCAGUACAUAUCAUUUCAGGUGCUUUUAGUGUCCAUUGACUUGCACUUAAAGGAAGUUACAUUGAGGUCAGCACUGGACAUCUGUACCUUCACAGCCAUGCAACAGGUAAAUGGUAUCAUAAGGCCCUCCUGUGCAGGGCACUUUACUUAGCAUAAGAUUCAGUCCAGAGGUAGGCCAAAGAGAGAAUCCAACCAAAGCCUUAACUACUAGCCUUAACCAUAGCACCAGGGCAAAUGAGCCUGUUUCUUUCCAAGAGAUGGGAAUAAAAAUCAGUGGUGCUGUUCUGUUUUCUCCACCUGCUCUCCUAUAAUACACAGUCACGACCUUCUCUACUGAUUUUUCAAAACCACACUAUUUUUAUAACAGUUUUUGGGGGCCAUGAUAUGUAUAAACAGGAAAAAAGGUAUCAGUAAAUUCAUUUAAGAAUGUUUAGCCGGGCACAGUGGCUCACACCUGUAAUCCCAGCAUGGUGGGAAGCUGAGGCAGGAAGAUCACUUGAGCUCAGGAUCACCAGCCUGGGCAACCUGGCAAGACCUUGUCUCUACUAAAAAUCAGAAAGAUUAGCUGAGAGUCGUGGCGUGCACCUGUGGUCCCAGCUACUCAGGAGGCUGAAGCAAGAAGAUUGCUUGAACCUGGUAGGUCAAGGCUGCAGUGAUCCAUGAUUGUGCCAUUGCACUCCUGGCUGGGUGACGGAGCAAGAUGCUAUCUCGGAAAAAAAAAAAAAAA